rnacentral:rRNA from 1 species
AUACGGAGGGUGCAAGCGUUAUCCGGAAUCAUUGGGUUUAAAGGGUCCGUAGGCGGAUUGGUAAGUCAGUGGUGAAAGUCUGCAGCUUAACUGUAGAAUUGCCAUUGAUACUGCUAGUCUUGAAUUACUGUGAAGUGAUUAGAAUGUGUAGUGUAGCGGUGAAAUGCAUAGAUAUUACACAGAAUACCAAUUGCGAAGGCAGAUCACUAACAGUAUAUUAACGCUGAGGGACGAAAGCGUGGGGAGCGAACAGGAUUAGAAACCCUAGUAGUCC